UGGCGCACGGGUGCGUAACGCGUAACCAACCUACCGACAACUGGGGGAUAGCCCGCCGAAAGGCGGAUUAAUACCGCAUAUACCGGUAGCCUGGCAUCAGGUAACUGGGAAAGAUUUAUUGGUUGUCGAUGGGGUUGCGUAGCAUUAGCUAGAUGGCGGGGUAACGGCCCACCAUGGCGACGAUGCUUAGGGGACCUGAGAGGGUGAUCCCCCACACUGGCACUGAGAUACGGGCCAG
rnacentral:rRNA from 1 species